GAUCAUGGCUCAGGAUGAACGCUAGCGACAGGCUUAACACAUGCAAGUCGAGGGGCAGCACAGGUAGCAAUACCGGGUGGCGACCGGCGCACGGGUGAGUAACGCGUAUGCAACUUGCCUAUCAGAGGGGGAUAACCCGGCGAAAGUCGGACUAAUACCGCAUGAAGCAGGGAUCCGCAUGGGAAUAUUUGCUAAAGAUUCAUCGCUGAUAGAUAGGCAUGCGUU
rnacentral:rRNA from 1 species